AACUACAUUUUCUUAUUUCACUCCAGGUUUGGAAGAUACUCAACUGCUUCUAUCUGCUGCAUAGUCUAGUUAACUGGGUCAUGGCCCCCUCUGCUGGCAAAGAGAGGAAGGACAUUGCUUUAUAAACAUCUGAUGGCUCCCAAGAAAUCAAACCUAUUUUUGUUUUAAAUAAAGUAAUGCUUAGCAAGGAACUAUUAACUAUUUCUUUACACAGUCUUUAAGGUGCUGAAAGAUAAAUCUGCAAUUUGGAUGUUUUCCUUUUGUCUGCUGUCUUGAGGUCACAAAAUGGGAUUGUGAUGUUAGAAAACAAAGUGUUGCCAAUCUUAAAUUCUAGAACAUUUGGCCUGUAGGCUUCUGACUUCUCCCAGGGUAACAGACCUGAAAUCUGGAAGAAAAAAAAAAGAGGGAAAACAGAAUAAAGGCAAGAUAUUGUUCAAUUAAACAUAAAAAGUCAAAGUCCCUGGAAAAGAUAAUACAGCCAUUGGUUUACCCUACAAUUCAAGCUGAUCAAAUAUCAACAUAGCAAACAUGAGACACCUAAAAAGAAAUGUAUCAUUUCCUGCAGCAAGAUAGAGAAACACAGGCUCCUUAAUGAAGGAUAUGGAAACUCAUCUGAAUAAAUGAAGAACCAAUGAAGGUGCUUGAGUGCUCAUCCAGUCAAACAGCACACACAAUUCCACCCACCAGGUCCAGAAGUGAAAGAAAUGCAGAAGCAGAAAAUAAAGUGGGGUAAAUUAAGUAAAAAAUAUCAAAAGAAAGAUUACUUUUCUUUAUUAGAGUGAAAAAAUUCUUAAUCAUAUCUACUGAAUGCUAAGUGUUUGUAGGUACACAAAAGUAUAUUCAUUCAGUUCAUUAAGUAUGAAAAUCCUUAAUCUCUAAAGAAAUCAGAGCACUGAUUGAAUGAAAAGUCCAAUGAACUCUAUCAGUAGUGCCCCAGGUCCUGUUAUCAGAACAGGAAAAAAAUAUUUCCAGUAGUGUAUUUACCUGCCUUCUCUUAUACAUAAAUGUGGUGGUCCUGAUGUUAGGGCCACACCCCUGCCUUGUGAAGUAACAUUUCUACAGUCUUCCUGGGCCACAGUAUGAAGACCCCAUCUGAGUCCUGCCAUGCUAAUUAGCAGCUUCAGUCAAAAACGUGCCAGACUUGCCAAGUCAACAGUAUUUAUGGUCUUCCCUCUAGCAGUAAUAGUCUACUACCAAUACUAAUUUAGCUCCAGUGUGAGAAGCCUGUGCUUUGAGAUGUGACAACCCCCAGCUUAAUCAGAGUUAAUGAGCUAUGGAAGUGGCAAGUAAUUGGGUUUGAGUACAUGCAGACCUCAGAGGCUUGAGAUCAGCCUGCUGUGUUUUGUGUGUGUGUGUGUGUGUGUGUGUGUGUGUGCGUGUGUGUGUGAGAGAGAGAGAGAGAGAGAGAGAGAGAGAGAGAGACAUGCCAACUGUGUUGUGUUCCCACCACCACUGACUCCUACAAUUUGCUUUGUCACCAGCUAAAGUUGCUCCUUAAUUCAAACAGAUAGAACUGUUGUGGUUUUUAAACCAAAGGUCAAGGUUUGUAUCACUGUUGCUGUCCUAGUUGUUACAAAAGCCCCAUUGCUGGAAUUAACCAAAAGCAAAGUAGACAAAGUGCUUGUGUGAGAGUAUAAUGCUGCUCUGGUGGACAUAUGAACCAUAACAGAAACUGAGAAGACCUAAUUCCUAUGACUACAUGAACAUUUUUCCACUGCUCAUGUGACACUGCUUUACUUGUAUUAACUUUUUCAUGCAGUAAAAACUGUUUCUGCUUGCUGUACAGUCAGUUAUCCCAAACCACAUAUUUUCUGAAUCCUGUAAAGGGAAAGGACAGCUCUUAAGAGUCCUGUGGAGAUUGGGGCUGCUAAAAACACUUCUAAGAAGUGCUCUAGGGACUUUGAUGUGUGUAGCUGGUAAAUCAGGAUAUUCAAUCCAAAGGGCUCUUCCAAUUUAGCAGCAGUCUAUUUAAAUUAAAUUUGUGUUUAGUGCUUAUUACUAUGCAAGCUACUUUAGUCCUUCUCACAGAAUAUCAGAAAGGAAAAAUUGGUUAGCUUGCUGUUUUUCUUUUUUAUGCUGAGUUGAAAGCAGUGAAGAAUGAGUAGAAAACUUAAAAGUUUUGUCAAAUACCAUGCUAGAAAAAAGUACUAUUGUAUAACCAGCUUUUCAUACCAGUUCAUACUUUUUCAUUUUUACAGGCUGGUAAUAUUGUGUCCUAAAUUUAUAUACUUAUUUCUGUUUUUUGUUAUGUAGCAUGUUUUGAAAUGACUCAAUCCAAAAGGUUUUAGAAAUUAAAAUAAAAAACACUGAAUUUUUCAAAUAACAUAGUGCCAAAAUAUUUCUACUCCCCACCUCUAUGUCCCAUGCAUCCUUUAAGUCCUGAUCUAUACCCUCCAAUAUUUGAUUUAUUGAAGUGUGGCAUUUUGAUUUUCAUAUUUCCUUUCAUUUCUUUUUAGUUCUAACACAAUUUCUUUUCGAAAGCCUCAAUUCUGAAAAGCAUACUUGUCUGGGGAAGCAUGUGCCUAAAGUUUUUUGUCAUUCUUUCCCCACUACCUACCCCGUCCCCUUCUG